AUGGCACAGGAAGGCCGGCAGGUUCAGGUUCACGGACGGCGCGUCUCCGGUUGCAGCGCUCAUCACCACGCUCUCACACUGCUCCCCGUCGCUCAGCUGGUACACGUCGGUGGACUCCGAGCCCAGACGGUCCGUGAAGUAUACGCAGUUGGCUUCGAUGGACGGGAACUUGUCGGCGUCGAGGCAGACGCACCUGUGACAGCCGCCGGCGAAGAUGGCGCGGCUGCCGAUGCUCUUGAUGCGCUCGAGCGUGCUUGCGGCCAUGUCCAUCUUGAAGACCUCCACGCGGCUCUCCAGCUUGAAGACGACCAGCGUUUCCCCGGCGGACUCCACCACGAAGCAGCGCUUCCAGGAGGCGGUGUCGAUCUCCUCGGCGGGCACGUCGGCGGGCACGUCGUUGAAAGGGCUCAUCAGAUCGGCGAUCUUGGCGACCAGCGCGGCCGGGAGCGGCGGCAGAUGCCCCUGGUGGCCGUCGACGGCGACGAGGCCCUGGACGGCCUUCCUGACCAGAGGGUACGCGUACCUCUUCUUGUACCUGACGAACUCCUUGCUGUCGGGGCUGGCCCGGUAGAGCUUCAUGGUGUCCUGGCAGUAGAGGACGAGGUAGGGCGGGGACGAGCCGGAGACGGCGGCGGCGAGCACGUGGGCGCGCAUGCGGGCUGCGAAGCGGACCACGUGGCCGGUGAAGGGGUGGAGCACGCAGGCGGCGUGGGGCGGGUCCCUGGCGGCCAGCACGAGCAGCCCGUCGGCGGUGACGGAGACGACGAAGUAGGCGCGGAGGAUGGGCAUGCGCCGGCCGUGGAAGCGGCCCGUGGCGGUGUUGACGAGGAGGCGCGCGUCGACGCCGUGGGACGGGUAGUCGAGCAUGACCCAGCCGCGCGGCCGGAAGCGCGGGUCCAGCGUGCCCCCCGGGUCGGCGGUCGCCGCGCGCCAGCUGUGGCAGACGGCGCGGAGGGCCAUGUAGCAGUCGACGUCGGCGGCGUCGAGAAGCAGGUUGGCGAUGCGGUCGACGAGCUCCGGCAUCAGCGACGCCCAGCGCUGGGUCUCGCUCUCCUCCAUGGCGGCGCUCCGGCGCGGCGGGGCGGCGCGUGGGUGGGUGGGAGGCGUGCGGUCACCGAGGCUUCCAGAUCUGGGAGUGUGGAUUAG
rnacentral:rRNA from 1 species